GAGAGAGAGAGAAAAGAAGGGGUUUUGAAAUUGAUGGUAAAGAAAAUGUAAAAAUUUGAAGGGGAAACUCAAGAUUCUGCUUAAAGAAUGGCUGCAGUCUGCAACAAGUCUUUAAGGACUGCAGUUAUUGGUAGAUGAUUUCUGAAAUAUGCUUAAAGAGAAGAUCAGAUCAUCAGAUUUUCUUUCCAGGAAAAGAGCAAGCAACUCAAGUUUACACUGUAGAUAAAGUUAGAAAAAGGAUGUGUAAGAGAGAGAAAGAGGUAGGGAAAGAGAGAGAGUCGAAUAGUCCCAUUGGCUCGGUUAACACUGCCCCCCACUGUUAAUAAGUUCAACAGGACAAGAGAGUGUUUUGUUUUGCCAUAAUAG
rnacentral:misc_RNA from 1 species